rnacentral:rRNA from 1 species
AGCGGAGGAAAAGAAACUAACCAGGAUUCCCCUAGUAACGGCGAGUGAAGAGGGAGAAGCCCAGCACCGAAGCCUGCGGUAGUGUUACUGCUAGGCAAUGUGGUGUUUGGGUCGGCUAGUGGGAUUGCCACUCCGUUCGAAGUCCAGCAUUGAGUAUGGUACCCUGGAUUUGGCCCAUAGAGGGUGAAAGGCCCGUGCGAAUGGAAGUUUCAGACAUGAAAGGCGAUUCACCAGGUCGACCUUAGAGUCGGGUUGUUUGAGAAUGCAGCCCAAAGUGGGUGGUAAACUCCAUCCAAGGCUAAAUACUAGCACGAGUCCGAUAGCGAACAAGUACCGUGAGGGAAAGUUGAAAAGUACUCUGAAGAGAGAGUAAACAGUACGUGAAACCGCAUAAAGGUAAACGGGUGGCGUCAAGCUGCAAGCCUGGAGGAUUCAGCCGGUCAUUUUGUAGGGUAUACGUCCUGUGUAUCCCAGUCGGUGAUAGUGAGUAGUCUGCUGGCAACGGCGGGCCUGGCCGCAAGGCUAGGAUGUACGUUCCACUUGUUCGGUGGUGUACGCUGCUCGGCUAUUGGACUGGAUGGCCAGUGCACUUCCUCCAUUAAGGUGAACACCACGACCGGUGGAACUGCCAGUCUGGUAUAGCCAAGUUGUGUCUAUUCUUGCAUUCGUGUGGAUUAGGCUCAAUCACAGGCAGAUUCGGUGGACGGUGAGUGAACUUCGGUUUGCUCAUGUUAUCGGUCACUGGCUGUCAACGGGUUCGUCCGCUGAGGUUGCAGUCCUUGGUGGGUGGCCUGGUGGGCUUUACUGGUAAGAAUAACUGUGCAGGGCACCGGAGUUGUCGGUCUCUAAUCCGGUUGGCGCACGCGCUGCAAGUGUGUGUGGAGGUGCCAUUUCGGCCUGUCGUUGGUUGGGUCUGAUUGCCGUGUCGCCUGCGAAAAGUAGGUCCGGUAGUGGCUCGGCUACGGUUGGUGCAUGGAGUGGUGCUUCUCUGUCAGUCGGUGUGGACCCAAUAGUCUGUGGUGUAGUGGUAGACGAGCUACCCGACCCGUCUUGAAACACGGACCAAGGAGUUUAACAUACACGCGAGUCAUUGGGGACUUCCGAAACCCACAGGCGCAAUGAAAGUGAAGCCUCCUUUGGAGGUGUGGUGAGAUCCUGCUGUUACUCGCAUCUGCACUCGUGUAGCUUGUCGGCUCAGGGCGCAAAGAGCGGUGGGCGCAUCACCGGCCCGUCUCAUGAUGUGGUCAUUGGUCGG